AGGGUCUGUGUAGGUGGAACAAGGGCAAAGGAAGAGCGGCGGUGAAAGGGACAGAUGCUGUCACGGUGCAGUGUUAUGACGCCAGCCUGCAAGACGCCCUCGCACAGCUGACACAAGAGCUCAUGGGUCACACGCUGGUUGACAAUUACACCCCGGCGAGCAAGUACACAGACUGGCGCCGUGCUGCAGUCCCACGCCGUGGAUUAUCCAGACCAGCCUGACUCAGCUGACCUGAAAGAAGACCAGGAGGACGAAGACCAACUCGAAGAUGAGGGAAUCGAGCAGUAUUCAGGUGAUCGCGAUUCCUUCAUGACUCGGCCUCCCGAUGAUGAGCCGGCAGAAGAGAAGAAAGAAGAAGAUGUGUUGGGUCCAGACAGGCACGGCGGACGCCAGCAUGUCUGUUGCUUGGUCACCGCCCUUGUUGCGCUGCGGCGCAAAAUGUUUGUGCAGGAGAGGCAGAUUAUCGAACUUUGGCAAAAGCUGAC